rnacentral:rRNA from 1 species
GUCUUUUUGAUUAUAAUUUAAAGUCUCGCCUGCCCACUGAUUAUUUAAAUGGCCGCGGUAUAUUGACCGUGCAAAGGUAGCAUAAUCAUUAGUUUUUUAAUUGAAAACUGGAAUGAAUGGUUGGAUAAGAAAAAUUCUGUCUCAAUUUAAAUUUAUUAAAAUUUUAUUUUUAAGUUAAAAAGCUUAAAUAAUUUUAAAAGACGAGAAGACCCUAUAGAGUUUAAUAUUUUUAUUAAUUAGAUAUUUUUAGUAUAAAAAAUUUUUUAUUAAUAAAAAUAUUUGGUUGGGGUGAUUUAAAAAUUAAACAAACUUUUUAUCUAUAAAUACAUUAAUUUAUGAAUAUUUGAUCCAUUAGUAGUGAUUAUAAGAUUAAAUUACCUUAGGGAUAACAGCGUAAUUUUUUCAGAGAGUUCUUAUCGAAGAAAAAGAUUGCGACCUCGAUGUUGGAUUAAAGUUAAUGUUUGGUGAAGAAGCUAAAUAAUUUGGUCUGUUCGACCAUUAAAUCUUUACA